rnacentral:tRNA from 1 species
GCUGUGGUAGCUCAGAUGGCAAGGGUGUCUGGCUCCUGACCAGAAGGUCCCAGGUUCAAUCCCAGGUAGGGGCA